GAGCACUCGUACAUGCAGUGGUGGGAUUUUUGGGCAGUGAAAGCUUUGCUUUGUGCUAAAGUCAACAGUGGCGUUUGAGCUCAAAUAAAUGACGGGAUGACUUCGACCAUCUGCAGUGGCUCACAGGAGAAGCGUUACCACUGGAGUUUGGCGCGGUAUAAUAUGCAACAUCCGGAUCUGUGUCAGGAUAUUCCUGGGAGAUGUAAUGGAGUCAUCUGUGAUUUGUUUGGAGGGUAUGCCUGAGACGGUCUGAUCUACAAUCGAGGGAAGAGCUCCUCUGCACCUCCAGGAACUAGUGCAAAAGGAGGCCACUCUGGAGCUCACAGGACUCUCAGAGCAUUCAAACUGGCCAGGAGGGUGAACUAGAAGCGGAUGAAUAAUUGAAGGCAUGAUGCAGUUGAAGUGGAUGAAAUGUGCUUGCGGCACCUUCAGUCUGGUUUGAACACUAUUUAAGGGAAGGGUCUCUGGGGCUCUGCUGGAGAUGGGAGGUAGGGAGCUCUACAGUGGUUCGGCUCUAUCCUUUGCAUCACUCAAAAAGCUGCAUUGGAGGAGAUAGCCAUGAAGGGCCACAAGCUGUGCCCAUCCAGUAUCCCCAAUCCUAAACGUGGACAGUGUUUAUUAGGCCACCAGUCUCCUACCUGUUGAUAUAAAACAGGAACCUUUGUUUAAACUAUGAAGUCAGUUGUUCCUUUUUUUUUUUCUUUUGUUAACUGUGCUCUUUAACUUGAUUUAGGCUGUCAGACAGAUUAUUGUUCUGGGCCUGAAUUUAUGGCCCUUUUUAACUGGAGUGCCACCCUCCACUGGAAUACUUUACGGUGUUUAUAUACAUUUGCGCGACACUUGAACACUUGGUUGAGCCCUUUGUUGCAAAAUUACAUAAAUUGUGCUCUUGUGAAAAUAAUAACAGGGUGCAAUAUUAUCGGAAUUGCAUCAUGUAUGUUCUCCAAAAUCUUUUGUAUGUGAUGAGUAUGUCUACUGUACUGUGAUUGGGCCUAUGACUGACCUUUAAAGAGGGUUUGCCCUUCUUAAGGUUCAUUUAUGUGAAAUAAAAUGGAAAAUUUCACCACCCUGCGUGACACUGCUCCUCCUCUUUACUUUUUUUCGCCCAGGUAAGGAUAAGCUCACCUGUGAAUACUUCCAUUAUAGUUGCCAUGACAGCAUCAGUACCUCCCAUUUGAUAAGUCAUAGGACCACUUCAAGUUCGACUGUAAAAAAAAAAAAAAUGCAUGUUUCAGGUAUUCAGGUAUUGGAGUGUGGGGUUUAGUAAGAAGUCUUAUCGCUGGGCGGAUCGUAGGGAUUCUGAAAAUUGUGGCUUGCAGCCUAUCAUGGUUGUGCCAUAUCUCUGUCUUGGCCUUAUCACAGUUCUGCUUCUAACUUUUGGUCAAAUGUCUCCUUUAUAAUCAAUGACUCUCGGCCUGUGUCAGAUACACCCUCUCACAAAGCACCUCGCUAACAGCCGACCAACUCUCCACUCUCCCAGAUAAUCCCCUCUGUUUUUGAGUCUUGCUUCUGGACUCACAUUGACCUUCUUGCCACAUGUACCCUUCCUUUUUGACAGGGGGAGACCUAAACACUCCUGCUGACACAUGAUGAGCAGAUGGAAAUUUGAGGAAUCCCACGACACCUAUCCCAACACACGCACUUAGAAUGUGGCCAUUCUGAAAGCUCCUCUUCAGCUCGACCCCAAGACAAACCUUUGACAGGAGAGAGAUGAGGGUCACGCUCUCCUUCACGCUGCCGUGGUAGAGAGCAAGGGCUCCUCAAGUUAACCCAGGUGGCGGGAAAGACCUCGAAACCACAUGAGAGGUGCACGGCUAAGAAGGGGUACAGUACAAAUCAAAUAUCAGGAUCCCAGUGCUGUUCUUACAGCAUUAACUUGGGCUUCUAUCUGUUUCUCAGCAGCAUGCUGUUGGGUGCUGUAUGUUACUGACUAGAUUAUAUGAAUAAGAAUUCCUGUGUGCAGCUGUACAGAAGGCAAAUAGAAGAAUCUUGUAUGACUUGGCAGAAGCCUCCAGAGGCUAUGUCCAAGCAUCAUUACAGCCAACUGGCUCAGCUCUGGAGGUCAGGACUUACUCUCUCCCUGAGUCUCUGCUCAGCACUUACAGGAGUCAGUGCUCUUUCUGUGUAGUAGAUAGAUAUAUAAAAAAAAUAACACUGUGGUUCCAUUGGCCCCAAUCCAUAACACGCAUAUCAAUGCAAGGUGUGGAAAGAAGACUGUCAUUUUAGUGGAAUGAAUAGAAAUGUAAGCAGUAAGACACCAGCUAAGAGCACCAUCUUAAUUUGCCAGUACCUCCACUGCAUCGAUCCCAACCACAAACACGAGACGACCAAGUGCCAGGCAGCGUCAGAGAGUGGUGGCAAAGGAAAGGCGGCCAUUAAUGAUUAACUCUCGGAGCUGGGGCCCUUUGUGUUCGCUGGGUGCCGAGGCUAUCUGGCCAUCACAUGACACGUCGUUUUCUUUGGGCAGAUUCAGGAAAGCUGGUGAGCAAACACAGGUGCUCCGGAGUCAGUGGCGCUGUCAAGGACGACUGCAAACAAGAGUGGCGAUGGCCGACCCCGCCUCCCGGCUCCAGCAGGUUCCGCCACCUCAUAAUCCCACCCACCACUUUUCCAGUCCAGCUUUCUUUUUAUACUGCUUAUGGUAAUUAAUAACUAAAGGUAACAGCGUGUUUUCUUCAAACAGCACAUUUUAAUGCCCAAAUUAAAAUAAACUGGAUUAUUUCUUUUUUUAUGACCACCUCACCCAAAAUAUUAACCAAGAACUCACAGAGCAAGCCACCUCGAUAAAUACUAAAUAUUUGUAUGUAUGAAUGUAUGUGUUUGUGGGUUUGUGUGUGUCUAUAACAGAAGAUGCUUUAAGUGUAAUUUUCUAAAACUUACACGGUAAAUAAAAAGGUCAAAUUAGAGACGUUGCCAUGGACACGCCGGUCACAUGCCAUGCCAAAUGAUGGCCGACACCCACCUGAGAAGAUUGGGCACGUGGAAGCAGCCAGCUGCUGACAGGAACGUGUGCUUUUCAGUGCCUGGGCUGUAAUAGCAGACAGACGUGUAUGACAGCUUCCCCAGCUCACAUGGGGAAACCAGCCUAGGGGUCACCUGUCGGCCUGCGCAGAAGCCAGAUUGGAGUGUGGAGAAACUAAGAGCAGGAAGACAGGUCUGCCUGAGGCUGAGGGGUGCAGAAGGGCAGAAAUGAGCAGACGUCUCCCAUCACAAAAGCUGAAGAAACAGAGAAAGCUGUUUGUUACUUAAUAAGCUGUUUUUAUCACUAAUUUGAGUGAUAAAAUCUUAUCUUCAAAUCAAUCGUACAGGCUGUGGAAGUAGAAUAUGCAAUCAGGAUAAUAUAUAAUUUAUUGAUCUCAGGGGGGAUUUCCAUAUGCUUGUAUGUGAGAGUUCUUAAGACUGUAUGACAAAUCAAAUUUUGAAGAUGCAUCCAGGGGAGAAGGGGAGCUGACAUGGAGCAGCACAGACUCCGGCAGCAAGGACAAGUGUCAGCCCUGAGGCAUAUGCAGAGGCCCCUGGUCUGGAGAUAAGAGAGAAGUGUUGAAUGAGAAUGACUGGCUAAACAGGGGGGGGGCUGGAUCUCAGCCAGCACUGAUAAAAGUACCCAGACAGCGGCCAUAGGUGGGGAAGCAAAGGGAGGGUCAGACGGAAAAUGAUGUGUGGCAUCGGUGUUGACUUCCUGACCCUCUACUGCAAAUAAGGAUAGAUAAGAACUGUGGUUUUGGGGUUUUGGGGAUACUACCUACAGUAUGACCCACCCCCAGUGCUCUACAUGUCGGCUCUGAUGCUAACAGAAGGUAGGAAAGUCAAGUUUCUCCCAUAAACAUGUGGAAUUGUGAGGUUUGUUUAGAGGUUUCCGAAAAGAAUCUUUGUGAAAUGCUGACAGUGGUCUAGUAGGUCCCUGGGGGGCUGAUCCUAGUAAAACAACAAACCCAACCAAAUCACUAAAAAAUCAAGAUCGGGACUCCACCUUUGGAUCAGAGACACCUUUGGGUUAGUCGGUGUGGUCACAUUUUGAGCUGUGCCUGGUGUGAACCGUCUCUCAUGUGCCUGUUAUAAAUUAGCUAGAAAUAUGGAUUCCAGCUUGUACUGUUUAUGUAAAUUGAUUAUUUCCACAUUGUCAAGAUUAAUUUUCUCAUGCUCUACAUACCAUCUUUUUGUUGUUGCUUGAAUGUUAUAUUCUCCUUUCUAUGGUUAGUGUUAAAUAAUGCUUUGUAUUGUUUGUCAAUUUUGCAACUUGUUCAACGGCUCAUGCUGGUUAGAGUCAAAGGGAAUGACAUUUACAAAUGAAGCAGACAUGGUGGUUCAGUGCGUAUCCCAUCUCCAUUCUAUGUGUAGAGUUUGCAUGUUCUCCCUGUGUCUUGUGGAGUCUCCAUAGGUGUCUCUAAGUUGUGUAUGCGUGAUUGUGCAUGUGUAUGACCUACAAUCGGUUGGCCUCCCGUCCAUCAUGCAUAUAUUUUCAGUAUUCGUGAUAUAAUUUCAAUAGGUAAAAUGUGUAAAAUUGCACUUUCAAAGCUGUUUAUUCUGUCAUUACCUAAGGAGUAAUGAAAUGAAUUAUAUGAAAAAUAUAAUAUUUUACGCAACUCCAUCCAUCCAUCCAUUUUCCAAACCGCUUAUCCUAUUGGGUCGCGGGGGGUCCGGAGCCUAUCCCGGAAGCAAUGGGCACGAGGCUGGGAACAACCCAGGAUGGGGGGCCAGCCCAUCGCAGGGCACACUCACACACCAUUCACUCACACAUACACACCUAUGGGCAAUUUUGCAACUCCAAUUAGCCUCAGCAUGUUUUUGGACUGUGGGGGGAAACCGGAGUACCUGGAGGAAACCCCACGACGACAUGGGGAGAACAUGCAAACUCCACACACAUGUGACCCAGGCGGAGAUUCGAACCCAGGUACCAGAGGUGUGAGGCAACAGUGCUAACCACUGCGCCACCAUGCCGCCCCCAUUUUACGCAACUCCAACUGCUGAAAUGCCAGAGCACUGUGAUUUAUUACAAAUGACCCUGUGCCAUGUCAUUGGGAGCUGGGAAUUCAGUACACAGAUGAAUAAACCGCUGUGGUUCUCUUGCUUCAUUACAAUGCCUCUUCAUGCCAUCGGCACACUCCUCAAGAUGGAGAAAGUCGUAAAUCCCGGCUAUUAUAUGGGCCAAUGGUGCCGGAUGUGUUCUUCAGUGCUGUCGCUUUGGUUGGAAUGAGGCUGCUUUUAACUGCCUUCUUCCAUUCAAGGCCUCACAAAUAGUUGUUCUUCUGAUCUGAAGACUUGUAGGUGAGGUACGUUUAUGACCAGGCCAUGUACCGAAGUGCCUCCCUUUCUAAACAAGCCCCCCUCCACCACACACACUGCUCUGAAUAGCCCUGUUAAACCCCUGCUGAAAGAGUCUACAAAAAAACACUGCUGCUCAUAGAGAGAAAGAAAAACACAUAGGUAGCCGGACACGUAUGUAGACACCUACCCGCUCAGCCGUAAAUAACGAGCAGCUAACCAGACAACAGGCAACCUCUUGAGGCAAGAAUCUUGAUGAAAAAAUCAAACAGUAUGAAGCUCUAAAAGUCAACAGGGACCACACUCUGUGGGCGAGGACCCUACAGAUAGGCGUAAACUCAGCAUAUGCAAAACACAAGGGCUGUUUAGACCUGUCAGUGCUGGAAGAUCGGGCUCCAGGCUAACAAAGAGGCAUGUCCCUAACCAAGUGACCACACAUGCUGAGUGACUCUGUAUGUUCCUGCUGUGCCACAAAUGAAUGAAUCACACAGUUUUCUGUGAUAAAUUGCAAUCAGUCGUACCUAAUACCUACAUUUAUGUAAAAUUACCACAAAGGGGAAUUCUUACCACAUGGGGCAUUCUUAGGAAUCCCACUACCAAAUAAAUUUUUUAUAAUUCAUAGUUUGAAGGAAUUACAUGUCAGCUUAAUUGUGCAAACUGUCAAUUUCAAUCAGAUAAUCAGGGUUAAUCAGUUUUAUGUUGUUAUUUCUUUCUGUAAUAAAAAAAAGUAUUUCAUCAAAUACAAUUACAAUACUAACAACAAAUUGAACAAAAAUAUACUAUAGCUUAUCAUAGAAACUGAAAAAUUGAAGAGAAUUAAAAACAAUUUACGUAUUUAUGUGUUACUGGCUUUUGGAUACCUAUUUGGGGAAAAUAAUGAGAUCGGAGCACAAAUAACAUCAUUCUAAUAUACCUAAAAAGUUAAGGUAAUGUCAUUUGCUCUACACAUUUGCUCUUUUUGUUACAAAAAUUCUGAAGUUUGUGAGAAUGACCCAUAUUUUUAUAUUUAUUUAAUGAUUUAACUUAAGCUUCUGAUGUGCAAAUUAUUCAUUUCCAACUAAAAAUACUACUUUUUGUACAAGCCAUAUUUCAAUGGUUUGACGAUAGCUCGAUGAACAGGUGGCAAUAAGAAAAGAGAGGGAUUGUAUUAUAAGUAGGGAUGUUCAAUGAUUAUUUUUUAAUCACAUACCUAAUUAAUAUACCACAUGUACAAAUAACACACAGGUAUUGAACAGGCAGAUCAACACACUAUUUAUUCCCAACCAUGUAAGUGUUUUAUAGCAAAUAGCUAUAAAGGGGUCUAAUAACCUCUUAAGAAAGAUCUUAAGAUUUUAAGGUAUAAGCCUUACGAUACUCUUAUUCUAUGCAUGUCCCCGUCUUGUAUUUUUAUAAAAUAAAAUAAACCACGUAUAAUCAGCUUCCCUGUGAGAUGCUAACAGAAUGUUCUGAUUUUAGUUCUGAAUUCUGGGAUUCUGUGCAAUGUCACACCCUAAACUGUCACAUUUUUUACAACCAGGAAGGAAUAUUAUAGGUCUAUAUUAAAAUCCAUGGUCAUACUAUUCCUACAUUUGGGUACUGCAUGUGUUAAAACUAUUAAAGAAAUAAUGCGUUAUGACUAAAAUUAAGGGUGCCAUGGUGGUGCGGUGGUUAAUACUGUCACCUCACACCUCUGGGAGCUGGUUUUGAGUCUCCACCAGAGUUCCAUGUGUGUGGAGUUUGCUCAUUCUCCCUGUAUCAUCGUGGGGUUUCCCCCGGGUACUCCCAUUUCUCCGGACAGUUCAAAACCAUGCUGAUGCUGAUUAGCUGCUAAAUUGCCCGUAGGUGUGCAUGUGUGAGUGAAUGGUGUGUGAGUGUCCCCUGCGAUGGGUUGGCACCCCAUCCUAGGUUGUUCCCUAGCUUGCACCCGUAGCCUCCAGGACAGGCUCUGGACCCCCAGCAACCCUGAACUGGAUAAGCGGGUUCUGAAAAUGAAUGGAUGGGAAGUAAAAUUAAUGCAACGUUAACAUGAUAAAUUUCCUAGUCCUAAUGAAAAUAAUUAAUUGCUUUGCUAUUAAAAGACAUAAGUUAUAUAAAUAUCCAACAAUUGAGAUUAAUAUGCUAAAUAAUGAUCCUUUAUUUGCCAUUUGCACAAGUACAAGUAAACUGUAACAUAAACAUGAGAGAAAGCUUGGGUAAGGGGGGUAUUACAGCACAAGGUCAGCCAGUACACAGCGCCCUGGAAGCUGGGGGUUAAAGGCAUUGCUCAAGGGCCCACAGACAUGUGACUAUUCUGCCUCGGCUGGGACUCAUACUCGCAAUCUUCUGAACAAUGGCAGAAAGACUCAGUCCACUGAGCCACUCACCAUGACCAGGCAAGUAAGAUUAAAAUGCUCACUCAUUCCAGAGACUUCUCUGUUCCUGUUUUACAUUAAUUUGAAGAAAUAAGUCUGCUAAAUAAAUAGUUAAGUAUUUUAUGUAAUAUUCAAUCUCUUACCAGUAAUGUGUUUUAUGACAUAAAAAAGAUUCUAAGUAAUUUUGGUGGAUAUAUAAAAAGAGAAUAGUUGCAAAUCACAUGCAUUUGUUUUUUUCAAGCAGGUUUGAAAACAGCCCUCUGCAGAGAGCACCUGUCAAACGUCAAACAUUGUUAGCACAUAGCAAAUUCUCUCUCACUUUCUAAAUGAUGACUCAUUGGCUCAAUGGGCUAGAGGGGGGCACAGCAUGUACCUGUACCACUUCACCACCCACCUGUUGCCCAGCUACCUGUGUGGGCUGGAUAGAGUGGGCGGAGCAAAGAGUCAGCCCAGAAGGGAUGCUAGAAAGUUCACCCGGGAAUGAUGCCCGUGAAGCCCGAGCUUGGUUGGUUGAUCUCGGCAGUUAUGGGCGUACAACAGCAGAUGACUGACGGCAAUUCACCUGGAGCAGGUUCACAUUCAGGACCAUGCCUCUCCUUUGUUGUCUUUGUGCAUUCAUGACCGACAUUUCUAAAGCUCUUUCUGGCAAGCAGCUACAGUAAGGUUACUGCAAAGAGUUUGGCACUAUUGGAAGACAGUUUGACUCACUGUUGCAUGAGACAGCAUUCUUAAUCAAAAUCUUUGAUUGUAUGAACAAAAUAAUAAUUUGUUGAAUGAGCGCAUCCAUCUGUCACCACAGGAAGGCUGUCUAUUGCACAUUAUAUUUACUCAGUAAUACCUUUUCCUGCUUUGCGUCAACGUGUGUUGCAAACAUUUGGUUCAUACAUUAACCAUUUUGGUUUUAUCCUAUCCAAAUUGCAUAGUUUUAAACUACAUACCUUUAGAGAGUGGGUGAAAACCAAAAACAUAGAGAACAUACAAACUGCAUGCACACAGAGCCAGGACAGGGUGCCGGAUCCACUGCAGAUAUGAGAAAUCCAGGCCUCUACUUACCUUGUCUAAUGCCACAAAGUGGUACUACAGCUUGAUGGCACACAUGGAUGGAGCCCUGUUUGGCCCCUGAUUAGAAACAUUUACACUGACUAAUAGAGUUGGCUAGGUCAUAUGACCUGGCAUGGGUUUGAUGGCUUUUUCCAGAAGACUGAGUGGAAAAACAUAAGAGGACUCAAACAUUCACUUUUCUCUUCUUGGCAACUAUCAGCAAACUUCCUGAUGAUAUUCAGGCCGGGUAAACAGUCAGCCUACUCUGUAUGCGAUCCAUAAACCAAUCAGUGAACAUUUGGAAAGAUUAACAAACAUGGCGGCCUGUUGUAUCGCUCCCUCAAAAUGUUUAUAAAACUUUUCUUAUUCAUCCAUCCGCCUGUGCUGUCUCGCUGGUGUCACUUUGCGGGAGCCUUAGCGAAACACACAGUUGUCCAUGUAAACAGCCCGUGCUGAAAACUAGCCAUGUCUAUUGGCUUACAAACGUCCUCUGAUGUUUUCUUUCCCCCUGAGUUUGUUCUGGAGACUAAUCAGGACCCGAUAAAGCCCACGGCAAAUACGCAGGAGAUGGCCAUCCACAUGUCGAGGUUUGCACAGUCCCCGCGAGUGUACGUGCGGAUGGGGUACUCAGAGAUGACGGACUCAUGCUGGGUGAAGGACAGGGGGAGGUUACUCUGAGGAGAGCCCAAAGACGCGAGAGAAGGAGAGGCAAAGAAAGAAGAACCAGUGAUAUGAGUAGAUGAAAGGGUAAAAAGAAGGAAGACAAGAUGAAGAAGAAACGUAAAAGAUGUGACAGGAAACAAGAGUGGGGAAGACUUUUUUAACAAGGUUCCUAAAAGGCCUCUAAUUUAUACCCCAUUCAAUUUUAAUUCACAAUAGUGAAAUUCAUAGGAAAGAGAAUCCAGCAAAGUCAAUAAAAGUUGUCAGGAAGAGAAAGUCACCAUGAUUUGUAAAUAAAUUCCAGACAUUGGCCUGUUGGCAAGACUGUAUGUUUUUACUCUCUGAUUUUCUGAAAUGAUUAACUAAAAACAAACAAUGUUAAAAUAAUUUUUGACUGUGUUAUAUGUAGUGAGAGCCAGCACAGUGUUGCAUCACACUUAUAAGGAUGGGGGGUUGAAUCCUUCCUCUACUUUCUGUGUAGUUCACAUCUUCUGUCUGCAUCUUGCGAGUUUCUCUAGGUCCGGUUUCCCGACGCAUUUCAGAGACACACAGUUAAGACUGGCAUCUCUAAAUAGCCUGCAGACUGAUAACUGUCUAGGAUAAAAAGUUGAACAACCGAUGAAUAAAUAAUUUGGCCAUA